rnacentral:rRNA from 1 species
GACGAACGCUGGCGGCGUGCUUAACACAUGCAAGUCGAACGGCGAAAGCGGAGCUUGCUCCGCUGGAUCAGUGGCGAACGGGUGAGUAACACGUGGGCAACCUGCCCCUCACUUCGGGAUAACUCCGGGAAACCGGGGCUAAUACCGGAUAUGACCUCCUUGGGCAUCCUUGGAGGUGGAAAGUUUUUCGGUGAGGGAUGGGCCCGCGGCCUAUCAGCUUGUUGGUGAGGUAGUGGCUCACCAAGGCGACGACGGGUAGCCGGCCUGAGAGGGCGACCGGCCACACUGGGACUGAGACACGGCCCAGACUCCUACGGGAGGCAGCAGUGGGGAAUAUUGCACAAUGGGCGCAAGCCUGAUGCAGCAACGCCGCGUGAGGGAUGACGGCCUUCGGGUUGUAAACCUCUUUUAGUAGGGAAGAAGCGAAAGUGACGGUACCUGCAGAAAAAGCACCGGCUAACUACGUGCCAGCCGCCGCGGUAA